rnacentral:tRNA from 1 species
GUCCUCGUAGCUCAGCAGGAUAGAGCAACGGCCUUCUAAGCCGUCGGUUGGGGGUUCGACUCCCUCCCAGGACGCCA